rnacentral:rRNA from 1 species
UAACACAUGCAAGUCGAGCGCCCCGCAAGGGGAGCGGCAGACGGGUGAGUAACGCGUGGGAAUCUACCCAUCCCUACGGAACAACUCCGGGAAACUGGAGCUAAUACCGUAUACGCCCUUUGGGGGAAAGAUUUAUCGGGGAUGGAUGAGCCCGCGUUGGAUUAGCUAGUUGGUGGGGUAAUGGCCUACCAAGGCAACGAUCCAUAGCUGGUCUGAGAGGAUGAUCAGCCACACUGGGACUGAGACACGGCCCAGACUCCUACGGGAGGCAGCAGUGGGGAAUAUUGGACAAUGGGCGCAAGCCUGAUCCAGCCAUGCCGCGUGAGUGAUGACGGCCCUAGGGUUGUAAAGCUCUUUCACCGGUGAAGAUAAUGACGGUAACCGGAGAAGAAGCCCCGGCUAACUUCGUGCCAGCAGCCGCGGUAAUAAGGGCGAAUUC